rnacentral:rRNA from 1 species
GGCGAACGGGUGAGUAAUGCAUCGGAACAUACCCAGUUCGGGGGGGAUAACGUAGCGAAAGUUACGCUAAUACCGCAUACGUCCUGAGGGAGAAAGCGGGGGAUCGCAAGACCUCGCGCGAUUGGAGUGGCCGAUGUCAGAUUAGCUAGUUGGUGGGGUAAAGGCCUACCAAGGCGACGAUCUGUAGCGGGUCUGAGAGGAUGAUCCGCCACACUGGGACUGAGACACGGCCCAGACUCCUACGGGAGGCAGCAGUGGGGAAUUUUGGACAAUGGGCGAAAGCCUGAUCCAGCCAUUCCGCGUGUGGGAAGAAGGCCUUCGGGUUGUAAACCACUUUCGGACGGAAAGAAAUCGCUCGGGCUAAUACCCUGGGUGGAUGACGGUACCGUAAGAAGAAGCACCGGCUAACUACGUGCCAGCAGCCGCGGUAAUACGUA